UGAAGUUCCCACUCUGUUUUGUGGAUGGGAGCUACCUAUAGGCUCCUAUACCGGGGCUUACUUAUAAAAGCCUCUAAUUGCAACAGAUGUAGCUGGGCACAGAUGAUGGGCACCAGGUUUGAGGUACACCAGAGAUCCGGGGCCUCCUCGCAUUAUAACAAUUUCAUUCUGCUGAAGUAGUUAAGGUGCCUGAAGUGAUCCUUUAACUGAAAUACACCUUUUUAAAUAUUUUGUAGUAAAAUGCAAGAUUUAUUUUUAUCUAUCUGCCUGACUGCCUGCAUGCCAUUCCAUUUUACAGCCUAGUAAAUCACAGCUAUGUAAUUACCAUUGAUGAUGAUGCUAAAUAGGCCGUUGUGCCUUAUUCCUGCUGGCAAAAUGAAUGGAAAUGAAGUCCCCAAAGAGGUUACUGUUUACUUGAAUUGAAUAGUUCCUUUGAGUAUUUAUUUCCUGCCCUAUCGCUCAUUACAAGGUCCUUAUUUACAAAAGUAUAUUUAGAAUCUGCACAUGUCCAAUAUAUCUUUCUUUCAUAUCUUUUCUGCAUCUCUCCUAGUCAGGAAGACAAUACUCGGUGGGAUCCGGUAAGCUCUUAUUUGAGUUAUUCGAUCAUUUUACAGUACGCAAGACAACAAGCAACAAACAUUUCCACAGUACCCAACAUGGCGAGAAUAUGAAUAAUGACAAGAAUACCUUGAGUGGAUUUUCUCUGCUACAAGUUUUCGAAUGUAUUAUCCAAGUAUUCUGUAUUUUUACAAGUUACACUUUGAGUAUUAGUACUAUAACAUGACGCUAUUUUCUUUAACACCUACUACAUUUAUUUGAAAAUCACUGAGAAUGCAAACAAUGUUUGAAUAUUACUGAUAAAAACUCUAAUGGGACAAAACGAGAAUAACAGAAACUAGUGAAAAAUAGAGAAAAAAUGCAUAAUUUUCUAUGGACCCAGAAAGACUUUAUUAUUAUUAGCAUUUAUACAACGCAC